rnacentral:rRNA from 1 species
UAACACGUACUGUGCAAACGUUAUUCGGAAUCACUGGGCUUAAAGGGUGCGUAGGCGGCCGACUAAGUAGGGUGUGAAAUACCUCGACUCAACCGAGGAACUGCGCUCUAAACUGGUCGGCUUGAGUGAGAUAGGGGUGUGCGGAACUUCCAGUGGAGCGGUGAAAUGUGUUGAUAUUGGAAGGAACGCCGGUGGCGAAGGCGGCACACUGGGUCUCAACUGACGCUGAGGCACGAAAGCCAGGGUAGCGAACGGGAUUAGAUACCCCGGUAGUCCUGGCUGUAAACGAUGAGCACUAGACGGGAGGGAUUUCGGUCCAUCCGGUCGCAGCGAAAGCAUUAAGUGCUCCGCCUGGGGAGUAUGGUCGCAAGGCUG